GGGCGUUUGGCAGAACGGUUAUGCUCCUGACUCUUAAUCAGGCUGAUACAGGUUCGACCCCUGUAGCGCCCACCA
rnacentral:tRNA from 2 species